AUUGAACGCUGGCGGCAUGCCUUACACAUGCAAGUCGAACGGCAGCACGGGAGCAAUCCUGGUGGCGAGUGGCGAACGGGUGAGUAAAGUAUCGGAACGUACCUUUCAGUGGGGGAUAACGUAGCGAAAGUUACGCUAAUACCGCAUAUUCUGUGAGCAGGAAAGCGGGGGAUCGCAAGACCUCGCGCAAUUGGAGCGGCCGAUAUCAGAUUAGCUAGUUGGUGAGGUAAAGGCUCACCAAGGCGACGAUCUGUAGCUGGUCUGAGAGGACGACCAGCCACACUGGAACUGAGACACGGUCCAGACUCCUACGGGAGGCAGCAGUGGGGAAUUUUGGACAAUGGGCGCAAGCCUGAUCCAGCAAUGCCGCGUGCAGGACGAAGG
rnacentral:rRNA from 1 species